rnacentral:rRNA from 2 species
UGGGGAAUAUUGCACAAUGGGGGAAACCCUGAUGCAGCAACGCCGCGUGCGGGAUGACGGCCUUCGGGUUGUAAACCGCUUUCAGCCAUGACGAAGCUUUUGUGACGGUAGUGGCAGAAGAAGCACCGGCUAACUACGUGCCAGCAGCCGCGGUGAUACGUAGGGUGCGAGCGUUGUCCGGAAUUAUUGGGCGUAAAGAGCUUGUAGGCGGUUUGUCGCGUCGAAAGUGUAAACUCAGUGCUUAACGCUGAGCCUGCUUUCGAUACGGGCUGACUAGAGGAAGGUAGGGGAGAAUGGAAUUCCCGGUGGAGCGGUGGAAUGCGCAGAUAUCGGGAGGAACACCAGUGGCGAAGGCGGUUCUCUGGACCUUUCCUGACGCUGAGAAGCGAAAGCGUGGGUAGCAAACA